CCGUGAGCUGUGGUGUAAGUCGCAGCUGUGGCUCGGAUCUGGCGUUGCUGUGGCUGUGGUGUAGGCUGGCAGCUGUAGCUCCAAUUUAACCAAUAGCAUGGGAAUGUCCAUGUGCCACAGGUGCAGCCUUAAAAAGGAGGAAAAAAAAAAAAGUUGCGUUCAGUUUUUAAAAGUAUGUCCUAUUUCCCUUCCUAUUCUUUUGGGGUGGGCUUAUAUAUUGGCCUGUCUUCAUUGAUAACUAGGAAUUUAGUAGGGACUUUAUGAGAAAGUAUUUUAAAAAGAACACAUUUCGCUUUGCAUUUUUUAUCAGAAGUUCCCUAUACAUUAUUUGUUUAUUUAUUUACUUAAGAUUUUACUUUUUAGAACACAUUUAGGCUCACAGCAAAAUUGAGAGAAAUUUCCCUGUACCCUCUGCGUCAGGUUCUGAGCCUCAGGGGUUGGACACACUAAGUGCCCAUCUGUCUGCCUUCUGAAAAUAUUCCGUGGAGUGGUUCUGUCGCUGUGUCUGUCCCAUCCCUCUCUCGGGGAGCUCUCUCUCCUCUCCCUGUGGUGUCCAGGCCCAGUCCUGCAGCUCUAGCUGGGAAGGCUGGGGCCCAGCAGCUGGGGCCUUUCCCGUCAACGUAGCACUUGCACUCUCUUGGUGUCCUCUCCCUGGGAGAGCUGCGCGUGCACUUUGCACCUUGCUUUGCAGUGCAGUGGUGAGAUGAGGAAUUCCUUUUGGCUGGAGGGAAAUUAGGUCACAUAAUGCAGCCUGGUUUAUUAGUGUUUCGUGUUGGGAUCUGGGAUUGGACGAGCUAAAGAAAGUGUGCUUUGCUUUGCCAGGUGGGUUUGGUGCCUGUGUCUUCCAUGGGAGCCUUGCAGCCUGGGGCACUGUGUCCUGGUAGGACCAGCAAGUGCCUGGCUACUCUGAACAAAAUAUCACUUAAUAAGACCCCUGUUUACCUCGCCUUGUAACAGCGAUCUACAGACGGACACCCACAGGUCCAACUCCAGGUUCGGCCCUCGCUAAGCCUGCCUUCCCAUAUUCUCGCUCUGCUUUUUCUAUGACUUUAGGUAAGUUGUUGGGCUGCUCGGUUUCUUGUCUGUAAGAUUGGCAUCAAAAUACCCACUUGGUUGAUGUCUUUGUUAUGAAUAUUCUACAACUGAAAAGAUGCUCUAUAAGCCCCAAAGUGCUCUGCUCCGAGGAUAGAAUUUCAUACUGUGUUUGAGAUUUAGAAAUGAUGAGAGGUAUUAUUAUUUAAAUCAAGCCUUUUUGGGGAGACUGCUAAAUGAAGAAUACAGAAAAAAUUUAACACUUCAAAAGGCCAGAUUUGUAUUCAUUUUGUAGAGAUUUGUUUAAAGUAGUGUGUAUUAUCUACAGGGUUGGGUAUUAGGAAAAAGCAGAACAAAAUAAAUUUAACUUCAGUUAUAUCUGAAAUAAUUAACAAAAAGAGUGAUUUAUAAAAAAAAAUGCCUACUCUGAGAGUUACAUGUCAUGGCUUUAUAUGAUUAUCUAAAACAUGUUUUACAAACGUGAACAUCUGUACAAACACAGAGGUUUACAUUUCAGACGGGUGACGACAGCUCCAUAAUAAAACAACCUGCCAGUUGGGGACCUUAUCUCUUCUUACACUGAGUGGUAGGAAAUACACCACAGAAAAUCUGCACAAGUGACAGAAGGGCCCUGUCAUAGUUCUUCUUUCCAAGAACUUUGCUUUCCCCUUCUUAGUUAGAAAGUAAGUUACUCCUCUGGUUUGGGGGCCAAAGAAUCUGGAACUUUAUCUUUGUCCCUAAAAAUGCAGCUACAAAUCAGCAUCUAAGUAGGCGACAUACUUUAUCCCCAAGUCCUUUGCCUUGGGAUUUAUCUUCAAUUAAAGCGUCACGUUCUCAAGGGGAGAAGUCUAUGUCUGAUUUUGCCUUUCCUCUGCCAGGGAGCGGGAGUUAGAGUCAUUGUCGGAGCCAUCACGAAUAAGGAUCUCCCUCUGUAUCAAUAACACGUUACCUCAAAAUGUAGUGACUUGGUAAUAAAUGUUAAUUAAAGCUUCUCAUUUCUGAGCCUGCGAUCUGGUGUUGGCUGAGGGUCCCUCGUGAGGUUGCAGCUGAGAUGUGGUUGGGACACAGUUCUUUGAAGACUCCACUGGGCCUGGACCAGAAGACUGUUUCUGCAGUGGGUCACCUUCGUGCCAGGCACAGGGGCCGUUGGUCCGACGUCUAAUUUCCUCUCCAGGAUGAUGUCUUCGUAGAGCUGCUUGAGUGUCCUCUUGGGGGGAGGGGAGGCUGCUUUCUGGUAGAGUGAGCAGUCCAAGAGGGCAAGUGGGGAGCUGCCCCAUCGCUCUUGUCCUAACCUUGGACGUCACAUGGGAUCAUUCCGACAAUAUCCUCGUGGUUACACGGGCCAGCCCUCUGUAAUGAGGGAGUGGUUCAGGAAGCAGACAUCAUUCGGGGCCAUUUCGGAGGCUGUUGACCACAUCAUCAGGUGAAUAAAGGAAUAACUUGAGAAAGACACAAACAUUUAAGAAAAGUGCCUAUCUAGAGAUGGGUUUUCUUAGAGGGGAAGAUUCUCUUUGUAGGUGUACUUUCUUCCCUCCUGACAUACCCUUCUUUAGUUUUCAGGUGGAAGGAAGCAACAAUAAUUUCUCUAUAAACUUAAUGUCAGUUAACAUGGUAAUUACAAGACAGUAGCUAGUCUCACAUGAUAAUUGAUGAUAAUUGCUUCCUGCUUUAAUUGGUAUAUAAACAAGCCUAUGCAAUAGGAAUUGCAACAUCUACUCAAAAAGAAAAA
ensembl:lncRNA